GGGCCCGCACAAGCGGUGGAGCAUGUGGUUUAAUUCGAUGCAACGCGAAGAACCUUACCUACUCUUGACAUCCUCAGAAGCUUGUAGAGAUACGAGUGUGCCUUCGGGAACUGAGAGACAGGUGCUGCAUGGCUGUCGUCAGCUCGUGUUGUGAAAUGUUGGGUUAAGUCCCGCAACGAGCGCAACCCUUAUCCUUGUUUGCCAGCACUUCGGGUGGGAACUCCAGGGAGACUGCCGGUGAUAAACCGGAGGAAGGUGGGGACGACGUCAAGUCAUCAUGGCCCUUACGAGUAGGGCUACACACGUGCUACAAUGGCGCAUACAGAGGGCAGCCAACUUGCGAAAGUGAGCGAAUCCCAAAAAGUGCGUCGUAGUCCGGAUUGGAGUCUGCAACUCGACUCCAUGAAGUCGGAAUCGCUAGUAAUCG
rnacentral:rRNA from 1 species